AGUCUGGUGCCAGCAGCCGCGGUAACACCAGCUCCAAUAGCGUUUAUUAAUGCUGUUGCAGUUAAAAAGCUCGUAGUUGAAUUUUGGAGUUUGCUUGAAUUUGGUCCGUCUCGAAAGGCGAGUACUAAUUCAAGCGCUCUAUAUUUGGUAACAAUGUACAUGGGUGCUUAACUGUGCGCAUGUUUUGGCAAGGGCAACCGAGUCAAAGGUCAGGAAUGUUGUGGGGAUUGUUUUGGGAAACCAAGGUGAUCUUACAUGGUAUUUUUGGCAACAUUUUACCUAUUUUACUUUGAAAAAAUUAGAGUGUUCAAAGCAGGACUUAGGUCCAUUGUAUAGCUCAGCAUGGGAUAAUGAAAAAAGACAGCUGUCUUAUUUUGUUGGUUUUUUAAGACAAUUGUAAUGAUUAAAGGGGACAGUUGGGGGUGUUUGUAUUGUUGAGUCAGCGGUGAAAUGCUAAGAUUUCAAUAAGACAAACUUCUGCGAAAGCAUUCACCUAGGAUGUUUUCAUCAAUCAAGAACGAAAGUUGGGGGAUCGAAGACGAUCAGAUACCGUCGUAGUCUCAACCAUAAACGAUGCCGACUUAGGAUUGGGAAAAUUUAAUUUUUCAUGAAUCUCCCAGCACUAUACGAGAAAUCAAGAGCCUUUGGGUUCCGGGGGGAGUAUGGUUGCAAGGCUGAAACUUAAAGGAAUUGACGGAAGGGCACCACCAGGCGUGGAGCCUGCGGCUUAAUUUGACCCAACACGGGGAAACUUACCAGGCCCAGACAGCGUUAGGAUUGACAGAUUGAGAGCUCUUUCAUGAUUCGUUGGGUGGUGGUGCAUGGCCGUUCUUAGUUGGUGGUGUGAAUUGUCUGGUUGAUUCCGUUAACGAGCGAGACCUUCAUCUUUCAAUAGCCACUGGAAGAUAUUGCAUCAAGGCUAUGGGGGCCUAUUUGAGGAAGGAUUCGUUCCCCUUGGAUAGUUGUUCCUAUGGUUGCUCUUCUUCCAGGAUGAGCUUCUUAAAGAGACUAUUUGUGACAAGCAAAUGGAGGUUGAAGGCCAAAACAGGUCUGUGAUGCCCUUCGAUGUUCUGGGCUGCACGCGCGCUACACUGAUAAAGUCAACAAGUUUACAACCUACUUUGAAAAAAGCGGGUAAUCUUUUGAAACUUUAUCGUGAUGGGGAUAGAUGAUUGCAACUAUUCGUCUUGAACGAGGAAUGCCUAGUAAGCGCAGUUCAUCAGACUGCGUUGAUUACGUCCCUGCCCUUUGUACACACCGCCCGUCGCUCCUACCGAUUGGAUGGUCCGGUGAAAUCUUUGGAUCGUGGGUUUGUCUUACUUUUGGUUCGCCAAAAGUAGCGCUCGUGAAAAUUUGAUUAAACCUU
rnacentral:rRNA from 1 species